GCCGGGAUGUUGGAAUUGGUAGACAAUGCAGACUUAAAAUCUGCCGGGUCUUUGGCCCGUGCCGGUUCGAGUCCGGCUCCCGGCACCA
rnacentral:tRNA from 1 species